rnacentral:rRNA from 1 species
AUGGGCGCCUUCGAGCCCUGCGUGUGGGGCGACUUCUUCGUCACCUACAACCCUCCCCUCUCACAGAGCUUGGAGAGGAGCAUGCGCGAGAGGGCGGAACAGCUCAAGGACCAAGUGCGCGGCCUGUUCGAGGACGGUGAGGACAGGAGCGUGGCUGAUGUGGUGACACUGGUGGAAACGCUCGAGCGACUCGGCAUCGACUACCACUUCCGCGGCGAGAUCGGCACCGCCUUACGGCGCAUCCUGAACGAGGAGCCCGAGCAUGGAGCUACCUCCCCCCACGACCUCCACGUCGCCGCUCUUCGGUUUCGUCUACUUAGGCAGCAUGGCUUCUGGGUAUCUGCAGAUAUAUUUGACAAGUUCAAGGACGAGACAGGAAAUUUCAGCCCGAGCCUACGCAAUGACCCGGUGAGCCUGCUGAGCCUUUACAAUGCAGCGCAUAUGGCGACACCUAGCGAGGACACACUAAACGAUGUCAUCGUCUUCUCGAGGUACCACCUCGAGGUAUUGAGAAACAAGCUUAGGUCACCAAUGGCGGAACAAGUCUCAGCCCUCGACAUCCCUCUCCAACGGACUGUGGGGCGGCUGGAAACAAUGAACUACAUAAGGGAGUAUGAGCAGGUGGAGUUAAACAGCGGACCGCUGUUGGAGCUCUCCAAGCUUGAUUUCGAGCUGGUCAGGUCCCUUCACCUCAAGGAGCUUAAGGCUCUAUCUUUGUGGUGGAGAGAUCUUUACGACCAUGUAAAGCUAAGCUAUGCUCGGGAUCGUCUAGUGGAGAACUAUUUCUGGGCCUGCAGUGUGUUCCAUGAGGAGGAGAGCUCUCGCACACGACUGAUGUUUGUCAAGACGUUUGGUCUGCUAUCCCCGAUGGAUGACACCUACGAUGUCCACGCGACCCUGGAGGAAUGUUGUAAACUCAAUGAAGCUAUACAAAGAUGGGAUCGAAGCGCGGCAUCUAUUCUACCUGAAUAUCUGCAUACGUUUUACAUCAAAUUGCUGGAUAACAUCAAAGAGUUUGAGGACACUUUGGGACCACACGAGAAGUACCGUCUAUCUUACGCCGAGGAAGCGAUCAAGUCAUUGUCUGAAUAUUACCUCCAUGAGGCCAAAUGGUCCAACGAAAAGUAUGCCCCCAGCCUCAAGGAGCACCUAGAGGUGUCACACAUGUCGUUGGGAUUCCCCACACUGGCCAUAGUGAUGCUCAUGGGUGUGGGCAACACAGCAACCAAGAAGGCGUUCGACUGGGCAGUCAAUGUCCCUAACAUUGUCCGCGCAAGCGGGCAGAUCGCUCGCUUUCUCAAUGACAUCCCUUCUUACAAGAUGGGGAAGACCAACAACAAGGAUGUGGCCAGCUCCGUGGAGUGCUACAUGAAGGAGCACCUCAUUGCGGGGGAGGAGGCUGUGGCAGUGAUCUCAGCGUUGGCUGAGGACACGUGGAGGAUGAUGAACCAGGCUUGUAUGGAGAUAGAACCAGCACUAUUGCCAGCGGCACAACUUGUGGUAAACUUGACAAAGAUGCUAGAAGUCAUAUACCUCGGUGGUAGGGAUGGCUACACAUUUGGUGGUGACCUCAAGAGCCUCAUCACCGGGCUCUUUCUCAAGCCAAUCGUUGUCGGUUAA